rnacentral:rRNA from 1 species
CGGUAAUAGCUCAAAUUUGAAAUCUGGCCUCUCGGGGUCCGAGUUGUAAUUUGUAGAGGAUGUUUUGGGUACCGCCACGGUUUAAUUUUCUUGGAACAGGAAGCCAAAGAGGGUGAGAGUCCCGU